rnacentral:rRNA from 1 species
GCCAUCAGCCAUAUCACCCUGCAGCUCUCAAUUGGCUACCCACUGAAGCUAAGCAGGGUUGGGCCUGGUCAGUACCUGGACGGGAGACCAGGGAAGCUCUGGUUGCUGCUGGAA